rnacentral:rRNA from 1 species
GAGCGAACGGGGAGCAGCCCAGAGCCUGAAUCAGUGUGUGUGUUAGUGGAAGCGUCUGGAAAGGCGCGCGAUACAGGGUGACAGCCCCGUACACAAAAAUGCACAUGCUGUGAGCUCGAUGAGUAGGGCGGGACACGUGGUAUCCUGUCUGAAUAUGGGGGGACCAUCCUCCAAGGCUAAAUACUCCUGACUGACCGAUAGUGAACCAGUACCGUGAGGGAAAGGCGAAAAGAACCCCGGCGAGGGGAGUGAAAAAGAACCUGAAACCGUGUACGUACAAGCAGUGGGAGCACGCUUAGGCGUGUGACUGCGUACCUUUUGUAUAAUGGGUCAGCGACUUAUAUUCUGUAGCAAGGUUAACCGAAUAGGGGAGCCGAAGGGAAACCGAGUCUUAACUGGGCGUUAAGUUGCAGGGUAUAGACCCGAAACCCGGUGAUCUAGCCAUGGGCAGGUUGAAGGUUGGGUAACACUAACUGGAGGACCGAACCGACUAAUGUUGAAAAAUUAGCGGAUGACUUGUGGCUGGGGGUGAAAGGCCAAUCAAACCGGGAGAUAGCUGGUUCUCCCCGAAAGCUAUUUAGGUAGCGCCUCGUGAAUUCAUCUCCGGGGGUAGAGCACUGUUUCGGCAAGGGGGUCAUCCCGA